GGAGAUAGUGGAGUGUGAUGUCAUCCUAGGUCAUGGUGGGCCAUUUUUGUUGAAUAAAAGAAAGAGAAAAAGAAAAGAAAAAGGGCCCCCUCCUCCUUCUCUCUCCUCCCUCUCUUCUUCCUCUCUACCGUGCGACUCCUCCAUCUCCAUCUUCUUCAUCUCCUUCUUCUUUGAAAACCCAGCAACCAGUGAAGCCGGAGAAGCUGCCGGACCUCACGCCUUUGCCCGUUUGCUCGUCGUCGCCGCCGCCCUGUGCCGCCCGCGCUCGUUUACCGGUCAGCUCCCCUCCCCGUUCCGCCUCAGCCCGCGUCCCCAGCAGAUCUGAGAACCCCGAACUAGCAAGCCGAAGACCAGUUGAAGCCAGCAGCUCCACUCAUCGCCGGAGCUCACCGCCGCCGCCGCCGUCGUCCGUGCGCGAAGCUCGCGCGCUCGCGUGUCGCCUCGCUGGACAGCCGUUGCAUGCUGCUCCGCCCUGCUUGCCCGGUCCCGAGCUCCUUCCCCUCCGUCCAGCCGCCGUCGCCAUCGCUAGGGUCGCCGUCAGCCUCGCCGGAGCUCCGCCCGAGCUGCCGCCCCUCUUCUCCGCCGUUCCUCCGCCCAUCCCGACGCCGGAUCUGCUCCCUCUCGGCCCCAAGCAGAAUCUAGAAAAAUGGGUAUGGCAGCAGGUGUUUGGCCCGUUUUGGCCGCCUUCCCGAGCUCGGAUGCUCGGCCCGCUUUGAGGAAAGUCGAUCCUCGCGUCGUCCUCGUCGUCGCUCGGCUUGCUAAUCCGGUGAGUUUAGCUCACUAAACCUCGCUUAGAGGGUUAAUGAUGCUUUAGGUGUG
rnacentral:lncRNA from 1 species